ACCAGGUUCGUGCUGGUGCGGUGCAGGAAAUCCCGUCGGGCGUCGCGGACCUUGCGGUGGGCGCGGGCGACCUUGCUCUUGGCUUUGCGGCGGUUGGCCGAGCCGGGCUGCUUGCGGGCCAUGCGCCGCUGGUACCGGGCCAGAUUCCGCUGCUUCUUGUCCAGAUGCCGGGGGUUGGGGAUGCGCCGCCCGUCGGAGGUCACCGCGAAAUCCUUGAUCCCCAGAUCGAUCCCGAUGGCGUACCCGACCGGCGGCGCGGGGGCGGGGGCGUCGGUGUCGAUGCUGAAGGUGAGGUACCAGCGGCCGUCGGGCUCGCGGGAGACCACCACCAUGGUCGGGUCCAGCCCGGCCACGUCCACAUCAUCGAACGACCACACGAACGCGAGCGGCGCGGUGGUCUUGGCCAGCCGCAGCUCGCCGUUGCGCAUGCGGAACGCCGAGCGGGUGUAGUGCGCGGUCUGGCGGCCGGUGCGGCUCUUGAAUCUGGGAUACUUCGCGCGCCCGGCGAAGAAGUUGGCGAACGCGGUGUGCUGGUGCCGCAGCGCCUGCUGCAACGGCACGCUCGACACCUCCGACAAAAACGCCAGAUCCUGCGU
rfam:Actinomadura sp. CNT-125 NODE_271_length_10298_cov_82.3634_ID_14795, whole genome shotgun sequence.